UUUCAUCUUCUAAUGAACUCCGUUGUUAUGAUGAAGUUCUUAGGACUAUUUAAGUUUGAUAAAGAGAGGAUUUAUCGAUUAGUCCUUAAAACUGUUCACGACCAAAUGAUAGGCUGUUAAUAAGGAUGACAGCUUCUAUCAAGCAUAGGUAGCUGUAGGCCAUAUGGGUUGGUUGUCCUCUUAACCAAGGAGUGUGGAGACACUGGUAUGGCAUACAGGUGA
rnacentral:lncRNA from 1 species